GCGUCCUUGGUGUAACGGUAACACACAUUCACCUCUUGGUUUUUAACUAUAUCGAAUGGUCCGGGGUUCGACUCCCCGAGGUCGCC